rnacentral:rRNA from 1 species
CAAUAGCGUAUAUUAAAGUUGUUGCAGUUAAAAAGCUCGUAGUUGAAUUUUUGCUUGCCGCCGAUGUCGGAACUUCCGUACGUUCGGCGGCGUGCAUCCUUGGGUGGAACCUGUGUGGCAUUAGGUUGUCGUGCAGGGGAUGCUCAUCGUUUACUGUGAAAAAAUUAGAGUGUUCAAAGCAGGCUUACGCCGUUGAAUAUAUUAGCAUGGAAUAAUAAGAUAGGACCUUGGUACUAUUUUGUUGGUUUGCGCACCGAGGUAAUGAUUAACAGGGACAGUUGGGGGUAUUCGUAUUCCAUUGUCAGAGGUGAAAUUCUUGGAUUUUUGGAAGACGAACUACUGCGAAAGCAUUUACCAAGGAUGUUUUCAUUAA